rnacentral:rRNA from 1 species
ACGAGAAUAUUCGACAAUGGGCGAAAGCCUGAUCGAGCGACGCCGCGUGGAGGAUGAAGUCCUUCGGGAUGUAAACUCCUUUUGCCAGGGAAAAAGUUAUUGAUUGUACCUGGAGAAUAAGAGGUUGCUAAACUCGUGCCAGCAGCAGCGGUAAUACGAGUGCCUCAAGCGUUAUCCGGAAUCAUUGGGCGUAAAGGGUGUGUAGGCGGUCGUGUUAGUCUCGCGUUAAAUCUUUCGGCUCAACCGAGAGGCUGCGUGGGAAACGGCACGACUAAGAGGACGGAAGAGGUCUCUGGAACUCUAGGUGUAGCGGUGAAAUGCGUUGAUAUCUAGGGGAACACCAAAAGCGAAGGCAAGAGACUGGUCCGCUCCUGACGCUGAAACACGAAAGCGUGGGUCGCGAAUGGGAUUAGAUACCCCCGUAGUCC